UUACUGCUCCAAAGUCUUUGCCAGCACGUGGAAAAAGCUGGAUGUGAGACCUCAGUGCUUACACAGCACACGAGGUGUUGUUAUUAAACAAUGGUUGUCGUUUCUUUGUUAAGAUCAGAGGUGCACUAGAGCCACACAAGACUAGAAUAAAGAAGUUUAAUGCAAAAGUAGAUUAUUUUCUUGGUGGAAAAACCGGUAACUUGAGGUUUCUUACGGGAAAACAAACCCAAUUUCUGCACUGGGAGGACUCUGAAGUGAAGAGGGAAGAAUUCACAGAAUUUUGUAUCUGUAACAAAGCACCAUUUUUUUUCUCUGUUCCUCUUCCAGCAAUGGAAGAGGUUCCUGAGCCCUGGGACAUCCUGUCAGUUGGCUUCUUCAUCGCUGGCUUUGUCUUCAGAAUCAUCACUUUCAUAUUCCUCAUCCUCAUACUGGAAGGCCCCCUCGGCCUCAGGGUCAGACUGACCUUCCUCCUCCUGCUCCUGGGAGCGCUCAGACCCAGAGCUGGGGCUGGAAUGAUCCUCCUCCUGCUCCUCUUCCUCCUGGGAAUGGCCAAGUGACUGACCUGCCUUUGCUUCCUCUUCCUCCUCCUCCUGGGAAUGGCCAGGGGACAAGCCUGCCUUUGCUUCCUCCUCCUCUUCCUCGCUGUUCUGGACAGAGGGUGGGCUGGACUCGGGCUCAGGAGCAUCAGGGCUGGCUCUGGGCUCUUCCUCAUCCUCCAGCUCACUGCUCUGCUCAUCUGGGGUGGAGGUUUUGACACCUUUUCCCUUGUCUUCCUCUUCCUCCUCCUCCCAGGACUGCUCAGAGUGGGGACUGUCCUCCGCUGCUCCCUCAAGGAAUCCCCUUUCCCUCACUUUGAUCUCGAUGACUCUGAAAAGACAAUUGGCAGCUGACAAGUGGAAUGAUUGUUCACUGCAGAGCCAGCAGAUCAUCUCCAAGGACACAUAUGUUAUAAAGCUCCUGUUCCAAACAGAAUGCCUGGUUACUGGAAAUCAGGAGUCCUGUUUGCCCAGGAAUCCUGCCCAGGCAUGAAGCAGCAGGGGCAGAGCAGCCCAUGCCUCUCACCAUCUCCACACAACAGCACCUGAAGCUGGUGAUCCUCCUGCAGUGCCAUCGUGCCAGGCCAGAUCACAAACCUCACUAAAGACUCAAAGAGGAUUAAUUUUUUUGUAAGAUUAAAAAGAGCAAGAAGCAGAAAUGGUUUUAAAUCAGCCCCAGACACCAGGUCAAGCAGCAGUUGUGGGGUUAGAUCCGUGUCAGAGAGCUGGAGCCACCUGGAGUGCCAGCUCCCAGCACUGGUGUCAUUGCCUGGAUGCUGCUUCCCUCAGUCAUACAGAAACAGUCUUUCAGUUGUAUCUCUCCUACAGGUAACUUUGCAUCCCACUCCUCCCAAACACCAGCAGCUUCCUGGGUAGCUGCUCUUACAUGUGUGAAGUUAAAAUAAUAUUCCUGCUCCAAUCUUCCCUCUCCAGUGGGGCCUGCAGGGACAAAGAAAUGACUUGUGGAAUGUUCACUGCCCCAAGGUACCAGUGCAGUAUCCAGCUGUGCAAGGAUAUUCUGUAACUACACUGUUCCUUUUCCUUUGAAUUGUUAUAAACUUUUCCUCUUUAGUUGAUGUGUUAAUUGAGCAAACACAGGAGUCCCCUGUUAGCUAAUCUGUAAUACUCUAAGGUGGAAUACAUAUUUCUAUAUAUAUGUUCUAAUGAUUUUCAGAUUUUGGCAACAAUUUCCCAGUUGAAACACUAAAUUUGACCAUUUUGACUAUCUGCUUGCACAAUGUUUAAUUUAUCACGUCAUCAUGGUAACUUAGACUAUUUUUUUACACAUCGUAUGUUUAACAUACAAUGCAAUCCUGAACCUCCCAUUCUCAUUGUUGGAUGAGAGGUUCUGGAUUCAGGGGAAUGCCACAAAAUACCUGAAUGUUUUUAAUUUGGAUUUAGACAUCUGAGCAAGGCUCUGAUGUGGGUCAAUGGCCUCAGCCCGAGCCAGUACAAUUUUCUGGAAUUUUUUCUUUCUUUGUUUCUGCUUUGUUCUGUUCCUUUUUUGUUGUUCUUCCAGCUUUCUCUUUUCCUCAAGUGAAUUCCUGGUGGGGAAAAUAAACUAAGGCUGAAUUCAUAUUAAAUCAAGAGCACCACUUCAAAGGAAGCUUUGGCAAAGAUGAUUCCAAGGAGGAAAACGGGGUUGCCAUGAGAGGACACAAAGUAUGUGCCAUUUUAAGGGAUUCAGGAUAUCCUGGGAAACAGCAGUCAUUCAUCCCUUUCCUAGGGACAUUCUGAGAAAAAUUCACUAUUGUUUCUUCAACAAUCAUAAAUUUAAAGUAUGUUGGUUUAUAUUAUUUUAAGUUUUAUAUUAUAAUUAAGCCCUUAUAUUAACAAAUUCAGUCCUGUAUUUACUGCAUGGAAGAAUUAACUACAUGUGUAGAAAUAAUAAAAAAAAUUAAAUCUACUUUUAAAGUA